rnacentral:rRNA from 1 species
AUGCAUGUCUAAGUACAGACUUCCACAUAGUGAAACUGCGAAUGGCUCAUUAGAUCAGUUAUGGUUCAUUAGAUCGUACAAUCCUUACUUGGAUAACUGUGGCWAUUCYAGAGCUAAUACAUGCAACGAAAGCUCCGACCUCGCGGGAAGAGCGCUUUUAUUAGUUCAAGACCAACCGGGGGACCCGUCUCGCCGUCAGGUUGGGCGGCCCCCGUCCAAAACUUGGUGACUCUGGAUAACUUUGUGCGGAUCGCACGGCCCGAGAGCCGGCGACGUAUCUUUCAAGUGUCUGCCCUAUCAACUUUCGUAGGUAGUCGACCUGACCACCUAGGUUUUCACGGGUAGCGGGGGAUCGUGGGUUCGAUUCCGGAGAGGGAGCAUGAGAAACGGCUACCACA